AUGUAUAGAGAUAUCAUUGCUCUUUAUGAAGCUGAGAAAGCUAUGAUUAGAAAAUAUUUCAUUGGAUCACGUCAAACUGGGUGGAAUCUUAGAAAAAAAAUUAUUAACUUUGUCUUGGUAGAUGGACACAAAGGGGAUGACAUUGGUAAAUCAUUAGAAAAAUUACUUAUUGAGUGGGGCAUUGAGCGAGUGUGCACUAUUACUGUUGAUAAUGCAAGUUCUAAUGACACUUGCUUAGCCUACAUGAAGAGGUCUUUGACUAAUAGGGGUUGUACACAUGCAAAAAGUCAGUAUCUUCACAUGAGGUGUGUGGCACAUAUUGUUAAUCUAGUGGUCCAAGAUGGGCUAAAGAUAAUGUGCCAUCCAAUAAACAGAAUUCGAAGUGCUAUCAAGUUUGUGAGAGCCUCCCCAACUAGAUUGGAUUUAUUUAAAAAGUGUGUGCAGCUUAGCAAGGUAGCGAGUAAAGGUUUGAUUAAUAUUGAUGUGGCUACUAGAUGGAACUCCACAUUUAUAAUGCUAGAGACUGCUGAGAAAUUUGAGAGGGCAUUUGAGCAAUAUGCACUUCAGGAUCCCAACUACAAGACUGAGUUAGAAAAAACUGGUCCAGAACCUAAGCCUGAUACUCCUGAUCAGCGGGGUCCUCCAACUCAAAGUGAUUGGGUGUAUGUUCGUGAGUUCAAACAAUUCCUCCAACACUUCUAUCUCCUCACUAAUAAGGUUUCUGGCACUAAGUACGUUACAGCCAACACCUUCUUGGAAGAUAUUGCUGAUGUACAUUUUAUGUUGGGUCAAUGGAGUGAUCAUGUGAUUUGUGGUGAUGAUGAAAUAUUUAAAUGCAUGGCUACCAAGAUGAAAACCAAGUAUGAGAAGUACUGGGGUGAUCCUGAAAAGAUGAACAAGUAUAUAUUCAUUGUUGCCAUCCUUGAUCCAAGGACCAAGGAAUCUCAUUUCUUUAAAGAGAUGAUUGAAGACACCUAUGGCAGUAUAAUAGGUAAUAGAAUCUUGACAUCUUCCCACAAUGAAUUUGUCUCUCUUUUUGGAGAAUAUAGAGAAUUAUAUGGAACCAGUACUCCUAGCCGUCCUAGGGAAUUAGCAUCACAAGCUCGUCCUAGUGCAAAUGCUUCUGAAAAUUCUCUAGUGAGGUCACGAUACAACCAGAAAAGAAUGAGAGUUUGCGGAGAGGGCAGCACUAGCACAAAUACCAGAACUGAAUUAGACAAGUACCUAGCUGAGGACACAGAAGAGUUGACUGCUGAAUUUGACCUUCUUGAAUGGUGGAAGUGCAAUGCUCCUCGCUUUCCCGUCCUUUCAAAAAUGGCUCGUGAUAUACUAGCAAUCCCCAUCUCUACGGUUGCUUCUGAAUCAGCUUUCAGCACUAGUGGUCGUAUUCUCGAUGACUUCAGAAGCUCUUUAACACCAGCAACACUGCAGUCGUUGAUAUGCACACAAGAUUGGUUGCGUUCUAAGUGUAUCAAUGUUGAAGCUGAUCUUGCUGAGUUGACCAGGCUGGAGGAAGAAGUGGGUGCCAUUCAUUUAAAUGAUAAUGUGACAAUAUCGAUUGAUUGA
rnacentral:rRNA from 1 species